rnacentral:rRNA from 1 species
AUUGAACGCUGGCGGCAGGCUUAACACAUGCAAGUCGAGCGGAGCGAGGGUGCUUGCACCUUAGCUUAGCGGCGGACGGGUGAGUAAUGCUUAGGAAUCUGCCUAUUAGUGGGGGGCAACAUUCCGAAAGGAAUGCUAAUACCGCAUACGCCCUACGGGGGAAAGCAGGGGAUCUUCGGACCUUGCGCUAAUAGAUGAGCCUAAGUCGGAUUAGCUAGUUGGUGGGGUAAAGGCCUACCAAGGCGACGAUCUGUAGCGGGUCUGAGAGGAUGAUCCGCCACACUGGGACUGAGACACAGCCCAGACUCCUACGGGAGGCAGCAGUGGGGAAUAUUGGACAAUGGGCGGAAGCCUGAUCCAGCCAUGCCGCGUGUGUGAAGAAGGCCUUUUGGUUGUAAAGCACUUUAAGCGAGGAGGAGGAGCUCUAGGUUAAUACCCUAGAUGCUUGGACGUUACUCGCAGAAUAAGCACCGGCUAACUCUGUGCCAGCCGCCGCAGUAAAAC